rnacentral:rRNA from 1 species
GAUGAACGCUGGCGGCGUGCCUAAUACAUGCAAGUCGAGCGAAUGGAUUAAGAGCUUGCUCUUAUGAAGUUAGCGGCGGACGGGUGAGUAACACGUGGGUAACCUACCCAUAAGACUGGGAUAACUCCGGGAAACCGGGGCUAAUACCGGAUAAUAUUUUGAACUGCAUAGUUCGAAAUUGAAAGGCGGCUUCGGCUGUCACUUAUGGAUGGACCCGCGUCGCAUUAGCUAGUUGGUGAGGUAACGGCUCACCAAGGCRACGAUGCGUAGCCGACCUGAGAGGGUGAUCGGCCACACUGGGACUGAGACACGGCCCAGACUCCUACGGGAGGCAGCAGUAGGGAAUCUUCCGCAAUGGACGAAAGUCUGACGGAGCAACGCCGCGUGAGUGAUGAAGGCUUUCGGGUCGUAAAACUCUGUUGUUAGGGAAGAACAAGUGCUAGUUGAAUAAGCUGGC